rnacentral:lncRNA from 1 species
UCAGGUAGCAAUUCAGUGUUCUUGAGGAGAGUGAGACAAGCAUAUAGAGACCUGGAGUGACAUAUCCUGCAGGAAAAUCUGCUCUUACUUUAAAUGGUUUGGUUGUCACUACUCUAGUCUCUGGUGCUUGAAAUUUCUCAUUAAUUUUGCUUCUUUGUGAUGCUUUUAUUGCAGGUGCUAAAGGAAAUGGAGAUUGCUGGAAGCUGCACAGUUCAGUGGACUUAAAAGGAGAAAAGGGAAACAGAGGUGCUCCAGGACCACCAGGUCCACCUCUGCCUCCAUCAUAUUUCAGCCACUUUAUUAAUAGCAUAAAGGGUGAAAAAGGAGACAGUGGCAUAAAAGGAGAAAAAGGAGAACCAAAUGGAGGUUUUUACCUGACAGGACCACCUGGACCACCUGGAAGACCAGGAUUAGUUGUAAGAUACACAAGUUGUAUAACGUAAAUAUUUGUGAAUACACAUUGUUUUAACCUAGAGGGCACUAAUAAGAGACAAGCAUCAAGAUGAUAUUAAGAACUAUGUACAUACUUAUAUGCUAACCAUUAGCUCAAUAAGACAAAGUUCCAUUAGGCAUAAACACAGAAACUUCACUACUGUGAAUUGAAUUAAUUUGCUUUGAGAAACUGAUGCAGUGCUAUGCUCAGCUGCCUAACACAGCUAUAUCAGUAUGUAGAUUCAUGCUAUCAAUAGCAAUACAAAUCAAGGGAACAUAUGUAACUAUGCAAGAACUAUCAGAAAGCUUUCUUAUCUGAAACUUCAUUUUUUUGAAUUUAGUUUAACGUAUGGGUAAUUUUUUCAGUUUCCAUGGCUCUUUGAAAAAAAAUGCUUACAACUUAGAAAAAGUGGUGUGGUUGCCUGCCAUCAGAAAAUAUUGCCAUCAGAGAUGAAGGACCUGCAGCAGUGACAUCAUCACAGAUGGAAACUACAGCAGUAUACAUUUCAAUCAUAAGAGAAGCAUGAAGAUACUUAUUGAUAUAAAAUAGAUAUAAUAUAGUAAUUUAAACAAUGAAGACAGUGACUUUAACAAGGUUUAAAAUGGCUAGAUACUGUUGACAAUUUGCUACAUAGAAGAUGGGGUUG